AUACGUAGGUGGCAAGCGUUGUCCGGAAUUAUUGGGCGUAAAGCGCAUGUAGGCGGCGUGUUAAGUCUGUCGUGAAACUGCGGGGCUCAGCCCCGUAUGGCGAUGGAAACUGAUGUGCUUGAGUGCAGGAGAGGAAAGGGGAACUCCCAGUGUAGCGGUGAAAUGCGUAGAUAUUGGGAAGAACACCGGUGGCGAAGGCGCCUUUCUGGACUGUGUCUGACGCUGAGAUGCGAAAGCCAGGGUAGCGAACGGGAUUAGAUACCCCGGUAGUCCUGGCCGUAAACGAUGGGUACUAGGUGUGGGAGGUAUCGACCCCUUCCGUGCCGGAGUUAACGCAAUAAGUACCCCGCCUGGGGAGUACGGCCGCAAGGCUUAAACUCAAAUGAAUUGGCGGGG
rnacentral:rRNA from 1 species